CCUAUGGAGCGUUUUGAUUGUGUUGAAAGGAUUUUGUUAACCUUAAAAAAAAAAAUCAUUAAAGACACCAAAACACCAUUUAUCUAAAUGUUGUGUUACGCAUAAAUAAUUUUGGCGAGCGUUGUUUUACGCACUGAUAAUUAGGCCUACUCUGUGUAAACUAUAAUAGAAAUUAAACGCAGCCUCUUUUCUCUGUGUGUGUAAUCGUCUCUCUUGCUUUUCGAUCAGUGCUCAUUUCCCCAAUCAUUUUGCCAUGUAUCCUCAUCAUUCACUCGCGUCACGGUGGAGCUCAUUUCAUGCUUCUGCUGCUUCUGUCUCACUCCUGUGGACCUAAACAUCCAGACUGGUGCCGAGGAAUUGUUUACCCUUCCCGACUGUCAGUUUCAACAUCACCAGGGGGGUUGUUCGACCAAAAAGAAAACAGUAAGAUGCGAGAAUGCUGCAGCUAUCUAGACUUGUUCCAAAGGAGCACCACCCUGCUUUCCACUAUCCUCUGCCUACAAAAGAUCUCAGAACAAAGCUGAUCGUGGAGUCUGGUGUGGACGUCGAAAACUAGCCGGAAAAAAAACAGGAAUUCCACCUUUCAGCAAAUGCAAACAUUCUGCAUUUCUUUAAAGAUCAGAAGAUCAGGAGAAUCUCGAGAGGGGGAGAAAGAGAGGAACGGUGACAGUGGUGGAUGGUGGAGUGACGCAUCAACAAGCGGGACUUUGAAGUGCAAAGCGUUACACCCACACAGGUCACGGAUCAGUCAGUCAACCCGUGUUGUCUGCUGGAGCUUCAGGGUUGACGGAUCAUUGAAGGAACG